UGGGGAAUAUUGCACAAUGGGCGCAAGCCUGAUGCAGCAACGCCGCGUGAACGAUGAAGGUCUUCGGAUCGUAAAGUUCUGUUGCAGGGGAAGAUAAUGACGGUACCCUGUGAGGAAGCCCCGGCUAACUACGUGCCAGCAGCCGCGGUAAUACGUAGGGGGCUAGCGUUAUCCGGAUUUACUGGGCGUAAAGGGUGCGUAGGUGGUCUUUCAAGUCGGUGGUUAAAGGCUACGGCUCAACCGUAGUUAGCCUCCGAAACUGGAAGACUUGAGUGCAGGAGAGGAAAGUGGAAUUCCCAGUGUAGCGGUGAAAUGCGUAGAUAUUGGGAAGAACACCAGUAGCGAAGGCGGCUUUCUGGACUGCAACUGACACUGAGGCACGAAAGCGUGGGUAGCAAACAGG
rnacentral:rRNA from 1 species